CUGAUAGAGUGGAUUGGUCAAGUGCAGAGAUGGGAGCUGAACAAACAGACGAUCUCUGAAGAGGUGAAAAGAGGAAAAGCGAGGAUUUCUCCGCGCUCUGCCUGAAGACAGGAGGAGGGAAAACAGGUCACGGCUGCUUCUCUGCCUGCAGCGGAGUUUACUCAUCUCCUAAAGUGCACAAGAGUUUCUCUCGAGACAAAAAUAAAUAAAUAAAAAAGUGCUGGACUUCAGUAGCACUCUGUGGAGACCCUGCGUCCUGGACUGGAUCAGAGCAGCUCUUCUUUUUAUGCUACAGUGGAAUGAGAGGAUGAUGACAGGAAUGAGAAAGUCAUUGAACGUUAAGCGACAUCACAUAUGGAGAUGCCCUACAGACUGGCACUGCCUAUUGGACCUGACGAUUCAGCGUGUCACCAUCUUGGAUGAUCCCGCUCGCACAUUAUUAUGACCCCCGCACACGAAGCGUAAGUGGGAGUCAUAUUGUUUU